rnacentral:rRNA from 1 species
GACGAACGCUGGCGGCGCGCUUAACACAUGCAAGUCGAGCGAGAACCAGGCCUUCGGGCCUGGGGAAAGCGGCGAACGGGUGAGUAACACGUGGGUAACCCACCCUUGGUACCGGGAUAGCCCGGGGAAACCCGGAUUAAUACCGGAUGGCCCAACAGCUCUUCGGGGCGGUUGGAAAAGGUAGCUUCGGCCUCCGACCAAGGACGGGCCCGCGGCGGAUUAGCUUGUUGGCGGGGUAACGGCCCACCAAGGCGACGAUCCGUAGCUGGUCGAGAGGACGAUCAGCCACACUGGGACUGAGACACGGCCCAGACUCCUACGGGAGGCAGCAGUGGGGAAUCUUGCGCAAUGGGCGAAAGCCUGACGCAGCGACGCCGCGUGGGGGGAAGAAGGCUUUCGGGUUGUAAACCCCUUUCAGGAGGGACGAAGCUACUCGGGUGAAUAGCCCAGAGGGU